GAUGAACGCUGGCGGCGUGCCUAAUACAUGCAAGUCGAGCGAACAGACGAGGAGCUUGCUCCUCUGACGUUAGCGGCGGACGGGUGAGUAACACGUGGAUAACCUACCUAUAAGACUGGGAUAACUUCGGGAAACCGGAGCUAACACCGGAUAAUAUAUUGAACCGCAUGGUUUAAUAGUGAAGGACGGUUUUGCUGUCACUUAUAGAUGGAUCCGCGCCGCAUUAGCUAGUUGGUAAGGUAACGGCUUACCAAGGCAACGAUGCGUAGCCGACCUGAGAGGGUGAUCGGCCACACUGGAACUGAGACACGGUCCAGACUCCUACGGGAGGCAGCAGUAGGGAAUCUUCCGCAAUGGGCGAAAGCCUGACGGAGCAACGCCGCGUGAGUGAUGAAGGUCUUCGGAUCGUAAAACUCUGUUAUUAGGGAAGAACAAAUGUGUAAGUAACUAUGCACGUCUUGACGGUACCUAAUCAGAAAGCCACGGCUAACUACGUG
rnacentral:rRNA from 1 species